rnacentral:lncRNA from 1 species
CCUAUGGCCAAAUCGGAGCCAAACUACUGGCCAAACGGCCGAAAAACCCAGCCGAAACCCAGCGACGCUGCCACGCCCCUCCUCGGUUUUUGCCUCUGAUGAGGCCCUUCCUGGCCUCCGUUUGAUGCAAAUUUUAUACCACUGUGAUCAUCGUUCUUUUCUCUACAGGUUGAUCGGAGCCAAACAUCAAAACGCAACUCACGCCGGAGGAGCUGCCGCACCCGAGAGCACCGCCGCCAGUAAGUUUCGGUUUUUCAUAAUUUUUUGACCCACCGAGGGCCCUAGGGUUGUUUUAUCGCAGGGACCGAUGCAAGCGUGGCCGAAUUCGGCCAAAAACGGCUGAAAACGGCCAACCCGAGGUGAAUCGCCGCCGCUUGCGGCAGCGCCGUCGCCAGAGCACGACGGAGCUGCCGUGCCAGAAUUGUGAUAUUGGCCAAAAGGGGCCCUAGGUCUAAUUUGGAAUUUUUUGGGACACGUGCAGGUGCCAGUAGUGCAUUUCAGUUUCCCGAAAAAAAUUCAGGAAAAAUUAGGGACAGCCUGUAGGCGCACUGUAGAGCCAUAUUCAGACCCCGAAACAAGUAAGGACCCCUCACCCUAUUUCCUAUCACGGUAUUGAAGCUAAAUAAAUAAUUAAACUGUACUGUAUGACUUUAUAGAUGUAAAAUUGAUUAAGGUUGCCAAUGGAGCCCGAGUCUGAUACUGAGUUGGUCUGUUAUUGUUUGAUUUAAUUUCCAGUAUUAAAUGCAGCAUGAUGUUUGAUGUAAUUAUAUUAUGGUCUCGUAUGCAUGAAUCAUGGUUUCUUUAUUUAUGGUUGGUAUUAUGCUUAACCCGAUACUGUGUUGUCUUGUUUGGUGUCCAUUACUGGUUUACAUGUUGUGUGUGUUUGAAUGAUUGAAACCAAGAAAAAGUGCAAAAAGGUUAUGUGAAUU